UUUUAACCCACAACAUCAGAACAAAGCCCCGUGUCACACAGCCACACACUUCAAAUACAUUUGUAGAGGGAAGUGAGUUAAAGAAAACACCCACAGUCUGAAGAUGAGAUCUGAAAUGUUGCAGGAACCACCACAGCGGUGGUCUUAAUAUAAAUGAGAAGCUUUUUGUAAGCGCUGAAAAUGUUUCAGUGGGAAUAUUUUCCACCGUGGUGGGUAUUUCAGACAACCUUGCGUCUACCCACCACUGCUCCUCAAUCACGACGGGGCCUGACCAGACAGAUCAAUGAGAGAAGGGCACUGGUGAUUCAACAACUGCUGCUGUGGCAUACACGCCCUAAUUGGAUGGUACACGAGUGUUUUACUGAAUACUGGGCCUGUUUUUCAACAUGCACAAUCAAUGGCUUGUUCUCCGCUGACUCCUCUGCUCACACAGCUCUAAUCAGAUAGUAAACUCUGCGCUUGAAGCUUCUGGAUGAUUGCAUAUUUCCUGUGUCACACUGCUUUAAUUAAGCAUCAAAUACAAUUACGCUCCAUUCAUCACUCUACAAAUGCAAUGAUAUCAUAUUUUACUGUUAGAUACCAAAGGUGGGAACAUUCAAGAGGGCUUUUAGAUCACUUGCUAACACUCUUUAAAUCUCACACAUUUAACACCUGGCAUUAACAGAUUACACGGUUCAAAAAUGAUAGGAGUCAGCUCAAAGUAUAGAAUCACAAUGAGCUUUUUCACAUUCGGGUUAUAAUGCAAAUUGAAAGUGUGACAGCUCUGACAGAUUUAAUGCUCCCUCCAACGGAUAAAAGAUGUGAAUCUGUCACAGCGCAGCUAAAACCAGUCUAGACAAUGCUGAGGAGAAGGAGAGAACAGAAAGGUACAUUUUCCUGUGGCCUGUAGUGAUAUUUUGCCAUUUUUGCACGCGUCUCUUUUGGAAAUGUCCACGUUCUCUUAAACACAACGGAAUUAAUACUAAAAGCAUCUGCAGCACCAUUUUCCAGAAAGCAUAUCCUUUUAGGUCAAAAACAUUCACAAAUCUUGUUGCGAGUCGUUUCAUGAAGGAUUUAGUUUUUC
ensembl:lncRNA